ACAUGAAGUCGGAAUCGCUAGUAAUCGCGGAUCAGCAUGCCGCGGUGAAUACGUUCCCGGGCCUUGUACACACCGCCCGUCACACCAUGAGAGUUUGUAACACCCAAGCCGGUGGGGUAACCUUUUGGAGCCAGCCGUCUAAGGUGGGACAGAUGAUUGGGUGAAGUCGUAACAAGGUAUC
rnacentral:rRNA from 1 species